rnacentral:lncRNA from 1 species
GCUGCUUUGAUUUAAGAAGACAAUACCAUUUCCAGACAUCUCUUUCCUGGGGCUAACUAUAUUAGUAUUCUGCCCUGAUGGGAAGGAAGAAACUUCAUGGGCAGUAAAUAGCCAAUUUAGAAGCAGGAGAAAUAUGAGGAUAAUAUUCUAUUUACUUAAGGGACACAAAGUAAAUAAAUGUUUUUGAAACUGAAUUGGAUUGAAGUGGAUCCAGAUUUUCACAGGAAAAAAAAGUUUCCUUUUCCCUUAGUUCUCCUUACACACCUGGCUUUGCAGGAAAAGAAAUUAUCAUUUGGAAACACACAUCUGCCUCAGCCACAGGUAGAAAAGGCUUGGACUACAUGUUUGGUUUGAAGUUUGAAAAUCUCAGUCCUUCCCCAACCAUCAAAAAUAUUUACCUCCCUCCCUUGUCUCACAAUCAUCUAAGCUGCCUUCUUGAAUUGACUCCCACACCUGUUCAUCAUAGAAGGAAAAAAAUAAAAGCAAAUGCCAUAUAAAAUCUCUCUUCUUCAACAAGGUCUUCUGUUUUGAAAUAUUGAAACAGUUCCUGUUCUAUUACCUCACCAGCUGUGGCCUUUUAUCUCCUAAAGGGAAUAGCUGACGUCUUACCAGUCAAAGUCAUUGUGCUUACGGACGCCAUAAAUAUCUCCUUUAAAUCCUACAUGAUAAAUUUCCCUCUGAUUGGUAAAGCAGAUACUGUAACAUGCAAAGGGGGAGCAGGAGAGUCUUUGAUGAUGUUAAACUAAGCCCCUGGAGAUAUCCCAGCUCUUCCUCCAGAAUUUUACUUUCCAACAACUGGAGUCAACAAAUACGGUAGAAAAUGUUGUCUGGAUUAUCUACUCCCAUUAUUUUUUUUUAAACUGGUUUUCAAUGAUGGGCAACCUAAAAUUUACUCACACAGAACACAAAACAGUUGAAUUUGUUAAAAGUCCAAAAUGUGCUUUUGUACUUUUGUAAAAUGGGAAUGUGCUUCUUGUACAAAUCACAAUAUGCUUUCUAGACCACAACCUAAAAAGGAAAGAAAAAAAUCCUGUGAAUAAAAAAAAAAAACAAGGACUUUCAGUUUUCUACAUGCAUUUGAAAUGACUUUAUCUCUGACUCAUGUUCUACUUUAUUUUUGAUUGGGAAGACCUGUUCCUAUACUGUAAUUUUUUUUUAAUAAUAAGUUUCCAUUUGUAACUAUUAGUUGGUCUUUCCACAAAAUUGGUUUGCUGGAAAGGACUGAGAAGAGAAAGAGCAUUCCUGGAUCAAUGGAACUGAUGAGUGUGGAAGUCCUUGAACUUGACCAAGCAUUGUCAAUUCUCAUAGUCUGACCAAAAAAAAACUAGAUUAUUUUGUGUGUUUUUCUUGGUGCUCCUAAUGUAAGUUUAUUCAAAUUGGGGGGGGGGCGGUGGGGGGAACAAACAAGUAGACUGCAGUUGUAAGAGAAAAAAGGUGAAAAUAAAUUAUUUUGGUGUUUUUUAUUACUUGGAACUUUAUUUAUUGUAGGAUAUAGAUUUAAGAUAAUUUUUUGUUUGUUUGUUUAUUUUAUUUUUAUUUAUUUAUUUGUUG